CUACGGGCCGCUGCAGUGGGGAAUAUUGGACAAUGGGGGCAACCCUGAUCCAGCAAUACCGCGUGGAGGAUGACGCAUUUCGGUGUGUAAACUCCUUUUAUAUGUCAAGAAAAUGACGGUAGCAUAUGAAUAAGCACCGGCUAACUCCGUGCCAGCAGCCGCGGUAAUACGGAGGGUGCAAGCGUUACUCGGAAUCACUGGGCGUAAAGGACGCGUAGGCGGGUUGGAAAGUCAGGUGUGAAAUCCUACAGCUUAACUGUAGAACUGCACUUGAAACUUCUAAUCUAGAGUAUGGGAGGGGGAGAUGGAAUUAGUGGUGUAGGGGUAAAAUCCGUAGAUAUCACUAGGAAUACCUAAAGCGAAGGCGAUCUCCUGGAACAUUACUGACGCUAAGGCGUGAAAGCGUGGGGAGCAAACAGGAUUAGAUACCCGUGUAGUC
rnacentral:rRNA from 1 species